GACGGAGGAUGCAAGCGUUAUCCGGAAUGAUUGGGCGUAAAGCGUCCGCAGGUGGCAGUUCAAGUCUGCUGUCAAAGACCGGGGCUUAACUUCGGAAAGGCAGUGGAAACUGAACAGCUAGAGUAUGGUAGGGGCAGAGGGAAUUCCUGGUGUAGCGGUGAAAUGCGUAGAGAUCAGGAAGAACAUCGGUGGCGAAGGCGGCAUCCUGGACCAACACUGACGCUGAGUGAGCGAAAGCCAGGGGAGCAAACGGG
rnacentral:rRNA from 1 species